CCGGGCGGCAGGGACUGGGAGCUACCCUGCCGCCCGAUUUGAAACAGGAGGAGGAAGCUGAGCCGCGCGCCGCCGGAGGAGGGGGAAUGAAGCGGGCGGCGGGCAGGCCUUGGAAGUCAUCAAACAGCUGAAGGAGACCAUGCAGAUCAAGCAGGUGUGGACAAGGCUGCGCUUCACCCUCCUGGCAAAAGAAGGCAAGCGGCUGAAAGAGAAGCUGAAGCUGCCGAUCAAGCUGGUGGAGAGUGAGGACUUUGACGAGCAGCUGGAGAUGAAUGGCUAAUGUCACUUGCUCCUAACCCUCCAAGUGAAAGGGCCUGGAAGGAGGCCGCGUCAACACAGAAGCCCCGCGCCAGCGGCCAGUGUCUCAUCUGGUGGCUACACAGGGAUAGGCCUUCUCCGUUGCUGCCCCGAGAUGCCCGUCCCCUCCCCAUCUCUUCUGUGUGAACUUGUUUUAUGUUGUUCACCGCCCAGAGACAAAAGUUUGGGGCAAUAUACAAAUUGGAUGGAUUGAUUUAAAAAAUAAACAUCGGAUUACUAAUAUGCUUGAGGUUUUUAGGCAACUGUUUGUUUAUUAACUGUAUAUACUGUCGACGUAGAAAUGAAGUAUGUAGACACAAAGCUAGCAUUCAGACAGAGUCUAACAUUGUGUGUGUUUGUGUAUAUAUCGUACACAUUUUAUUCUUAGUGUCCAUAUAUGUAUGUGAGUGUCUAUGUCUGAACACUAAGAUUCUAGACUCUAAGAAGCUGUAGACUAGAGUUGUGUAGUGUCUAAUCCCUAUAGACACUUAAAGUGUCAUGAGUGUAUGUAUGUGUAUAUACAUUAAAUACAUGUAGACACAGA